rnacentral:lncRNA from 1 species
GUUCGCUUUUAACCAAAUUACCUGAUACAUAAAAUAUGAAAGUAAAAAUGGGGCGGACACUAUGCAUGCUCAAAAGCACUGUGCGGGAUGCAAUGAGGUUAUCAACUAGCUCAAGAAACCUAAAACUUUAAACUGCUAUUUUCUUUUCUUAACUUAAAUAAAUUGCUUAUUACACUUAAAUCAAUCAUUCCUCUUUCAAAAUUUCGAAUUUAAGCUAAGAAUCUAAAAGUUCUAAAAUUUAACACAACUUUUCAAUAAGUAAAUUUCUUGCUUUCUCAGGAAAUUGAAGAAACUAAGCUUAAGUUGUGUAUAUCAAUCAUUUCCCAAUCACCUUGCCGGCCUUCUUCUUCUUCUUUCACGGUUUCUUUCACUUCUCAACAAAAGAAACGGCACCAAUUCAAUUGAGCACUAAACGGAAAUUUGCAAGACAAGUCCCUCAUCUUCUUUAUUAUACAAUUUUUUGUUAUCAAUUUAGACUUUUAGUGUAACAGUAAAAUGUCCCUUUAAAAUUAUUUACCUCAUUCAAGUCCUCUUUUAGUUGUGACUUUGGCCAAUUGAAUUUGGACUUUACUAGUAUAAAUUGUGUUGUUAAAAUUCUUUACACACAUUUUACAUAAGGUCACAGGAAAAUCUCCAAAAAUGACUUUUGUCCUGCAGUUGUAAGUUAAGAGAUGAGAAAUGAAAAUUUGGUUAAUUCUCAAUGAAAUUAGUAAACGUUACGAAGUUUAUCGUAAAGCUUUUGCCGAAAGUUAAAUUUCCACCUCACUUUGUCAAAUAUAUCGACACUUUAGUCUUAUUCAACGCUAAUGGCUUUAUCGAGCCAUCCUUCUAGCACAUGCGAAAAAACUGCUACUACAAUUUUUUUAUUACAUUCUGUAUUGCAAUAAUCAAAAUACUUAUUUACGGUAUCCUGCUAAUACGGCUGCAAUUCUCUGAAUUUGAACGUCUUCCUAUUAUCUUCAUAAAUGUAGAAAGGUACCAUUGAAUAUUAAUGCAAAUUACACUUGACAACAACAUGGUUUUUUUUUUUUUUUUUUUUUUUUUUGGGAAUUUUUCUAUGUUAUGCUAAAUUGAUGGGACCUUAAUUAACUAAAACAAGUUGGACGGUAGAUUAAAAAUGCUCGGAGGCCGAGUUAUCCUGAUUCUCAUUAAUAUAAUGGAUAGAUGUAGACCCAUUAUAAUUCAAUGAUGAAUAUAAUCUAUAAAUACGCAUGUUUAUGGGCUAGGUGCCAUUUUCAAUCGAUGAAAAGACCUUAGAAAACAUUUGGCUCGCUUCAUCGAGAGCCGUUAUUACAAUUUGGAGAGUGUAGGGGAAGAUCAAACUUAGUUUUUGAUGUAGAUGGAAGCGAUACAAAUAAAUAAAUGAACACACUAUUGAAGUUUCAUUGAUUUCAAAUGAAUAUCGCAACAUGAUCACCCUCUAAUUUCUAUUUAUUUCUAAGAAUACCAAAAAUUUAGGCAUCAAAAACUUUUCGGUUUAUG